rnacentral:rRNA from 1 species
GAGUAAAGUAUCGGAACGUACCAUUCAGUGGGGGAUAACGUAGCGAAAGUUACGCUAAUACCGCAUAUACUGUGAGCAGGAAAGCAGGGGAUCGCAAGACCUUGCGCUGAUUGAGCGGCCGAUAUCAGAUUAGCUAGCUGGUGAGGUAAAGGCUCACCAAGGCGACGAUCUGUAGCGGGUCUGAGAGGAUGAUCCGCCACACUGGAACUGAGACACGGUCCAGACUCCUACGGGAGGCAGCAGUGGGGAAUUUUGGACAAUGGGGGCAACCCUGAUCCAGCCAUGCCGCGUGAGUGAAGAAGGCCUUCGGGUUGUAAAGCUCUUUCGGCCGGGAAAAAAUCGCAUGGGUUAAUACCCUGUGUGGAUGAUGGUACCGGAAUAAGAAGCACCGGCUAACUACGUGCCAGCAGCCGCGGUAAUACGUAGGGUGCGAGCGUUAAUCGGAAUUACUGGGCGUAAAGCGUGCGCAGGCGGUUUGAUAAGACAGGCGUGAAAUCCCCGGGCUCAACCUGGGAACUGCGUUUGUGACUGUCUCACUAGAGUACGGCAGAGGGGGGUGGAAUUCCACGUGUAGCAGUGAAAUGCGUAGAGAUGUGGAGGAACACCAAUGGCGAAGGCAGCCCCCUGGGUCGAUACUGACGCUCAUGCACGAAAGCGUGGGUAGCAAACAGGAUUAGAUACCCUGGUAGUCCACGCCCUAAACGAUGUCAACUAGGUGUUGGGUGGGUAAAACCAUUUAGUACCGUAGCUAACGCGAGAAGUUGACCGCCUGGGGAGUACGGCCGCAAGGUUAAAACUCAAAGGAAUUGACGGGGACCCGCACAAGCGGUGGAUGAUGUGGAUUAAUUCGAUGCAACGCGAAAAACCUUACCUACCCUUGACAUGUCCAGGAGUCCGAAGAGAUUUGGAUGUGCUCGAAAGAGAACUGGAACACAGGUGCUGCACGGCUGUCGUCAGCUCGUGUCGUGAGAUGUUGGGUUAAGUCCCGCAACGAGCGCAACCCUUGUCGUUAAUUGCCAUCAUUUAGUUGGGCACUUUAACGAGACUGCCGGUGACAAACCGGAGGAAGGUGGGGAUGACGUCAAGUCCUCAUGGCCCUUAUGGGUAGGGCUUCACACGUCAUACAAUGGUCGGUACAAAGGGAUGCCAACCCGCGAGGGGGAGCUAAUCCCAUAAAGCCGAUCGUAGUCCGGAUCGUAGGCUGCAACUCGCCUGCGUGAAGUCGGAAUCGCUAGUAAUCGUGGAUCAGCAUGUCACGGUGAAUACGUUCCCGGGUCUUGUACACACCGCCCGUCACACCAUGGGAGCGGGUUCCGCCAGAAGUAGGUAGCCUAACCGCAAGGGGGGCGCUAACCACGGCGGGGUUCGUGACUGGGGUGAAGUCGUAACAAGGUA